rnacentral:rRNA from 1 species
GAUGAACGCUGGCGGCGUGCCUAAUACAUGCAAGUCGAGCGAACGGACGAGAAGCUUGCUUCUCUGAUGUUAGGGGCGGACGGGUGAGUAACACGUGGAUAACCUACCUAUAAGACUGGGAUAACUUCGGGAAACCGGAGCUAAUACCGGAUGAUAUUUUGAACCGCAUGGUUCAAAAGUGAAAGACGGUCUUGCUGUCACUUAUAGAUGGAUCCGCGCUGCAUUAGCUAGUUGGUAAGGUAACGGCUUACCAAGGCAACGAUGCAUAGCCGACCUGAGAGGGUGAUCGGCCACACUGGAACUGAGACACGGUCCAGACUCCUACGGGAGGCAGCAGUAGGGAAUCUUCCGCAAUGGGCGAAAGCCUGACGGAGCAACGCCGCGUGAGUGAUGAAGGUCUUCGGAUCGUAAAACUCUGUUAUUAGGGAAGAACAUAUGUGUAAGUAACUGUGCACAUCUUGACGGUACCUAAUCAGAAAGCCACGGCUAACUACGUG